rnacentral:rRNA from 1 species
UAGGCUCACGGAGGCGAUGAAGGACGUGAUAAGCUGCGAUAAGCUUCGGGUAGGUGCAAAUAACCCUUGAUCCGGAGAUUUCCGAAUGGGACAACCUAGCCGUCUGAAGGACGGUUACUAGCACUUAAGUGUUAGAGCUAACGCAGGGAACUGAAACAUCUUAGUACCUGUAGGAAGAGAAAAUAAAUGAAUGAUUCCCCCAGUAGUGGCGAGCGAACGGGGAACAGCCCAAACCGUUGACGUCGCAAGGCGCCAGCGGGGUUGUAGGACCGCGACAUUGUAUGCAAAUCGUGAACAGAACACUUUGGAAAAUGUGACCAUAGACGGUGAUAGUCCAGUAUGUGAAGCGAAAUGCAGCAUAGCGGUAUCCUGAGUAACGCGGGACACGAGGAAUCCUGCGCGAAUCUGCCGGGACCAUCCGGUAAGGCUAAAUACUCCCGUGAGACCGAUAGCGAACGAGUACUGUGAAGGAAAGGUGAAAAGAACCCCGAGCAGGGGAGUGAAAUAGUUCCUGAAACCAUACGCCUACAAGCGGUCGGAGCAUCUUACGAUGUGACGGCGUGCCUUUUGCAUAAUGAUCCUACGAGUUACCGUCACUGGCGAGGUUGAGUGUCACGAGACACGUAGCCGCAGUGAAAGCGAGCCUGAAUAGGGCGCAUAGUCAGUGGGGGUAGACGCGAAACCAAGUGAUCUACACUUGGCCAGGAUGAAGUCCCGGUAACACGGGAUGGAGGUCCGCACCAAUAAGCGUUGAAAAGCUUCUGGAUGAGCCGAGUGU